AUUGAACGCUGGCGGCAUGCCUUACACAUGCAAGUCGAACGGUAACGCGGGGCAACCUGGCGACGAGUGGCGAACGGGUGAGUAAUGUAUCGGAACGUGCCCAGUUGUGGGGGAUAACUGCUCGAAAGAGCAGCUAAUACCGCAUACGACCUGAGGGUGAAAGCGGGGGAUCGCAAGACCUCGCGCAAUUGGAGCGGCCGAUAUCAGAUUAGGUAGUUGGUGGGGUAAAGGCUCACCAAGCCAACGAUCUGUAGCUGGUCUGAGAGGACGACCAGCCACACUGGGACUGAGACACGGCCCAGACUCCUACGGGAGGCAGCAGUGGGGAAUUUUGGACAAUGGACGCAAGUCUGAUCCAGCCAUGCCGCGUGCGGGAAGAAGGCCUUCGGGUUGUAAACCGCUUUUGUCAGGGAAGAAACGCUCUGGGUUAAUACCUCGGGGUAAUGACGGUACCCGAAGAAUAAGCACCGGCUAACUACGUGCCAGCAGCCGCGGUAAAAC
rnacentral:rRNA from 1 species